GUGAUGAAUUAUUCUUUGCAGCUUGACAGGAAGGAAAAGGAACGUUAAUGCCGUCAUCCCCAGCGCCCAGUUCCUAGCUACAUUCACUUCCAAUGCCCUUCGACAGUGGAUAGGCUUCAUCGCACGAUUCAAACCAGUGACUUCAGGAUGUCAUCAAGUCCUGUCAGCCACUCCAGGAGGUGCCAUCAUGUCCCCAAGGUUUCCUCGGAGACAUCCAAGGAAGAAGUAUUGUGAAUGGCACAUCAUCGCGUCGCCAGGCAAGCAAGUUGAGGUGACCUUCACGCACAUGAAACUCGGAACCUACGCUAAGAACUUCGUUGCCGUGAACCCGACGACGAACCUAUACUACUACGACU
rnacentral:lncRNA from 1 species